rnacentral:lncRNA from 1 species
UUGUUCACCGAGAAAAGAAUAAAACAUAGGCUCGAGCUAUCCAUUUUAGGCCUAAUUUUGGACCUAGCCCAUAAUUUCCAAGCUCAUAAUUCUUAGGCUCAUACCCCUAACAUAAUCCCUACCCCUGUAUAAUAGAACCUCACACCUAAAUAUAGACCUAACAUUAGACCCCAAGAAAACCCAGCAACGGUAGACCUAAAAAAAACAAAGACACGGCCUCCUCCCCAAAAAGCUAAGAGUUGUAGAGAGCAAAAAUGAGUAGCAGCUUCAUGUAACGCGCAGCUGCUGCUAUUGACCUUAUUCCCUCAAGCCAACACCGCCUUCUUCAUUAACAAAGGGCCAAAAACUCUAUUAUUAGCACCAUUCUCGUUACUAAACCCACCUCAGAAACAACCCCUUUCUCUCUCCCUAAAAGACCAUGAAAACUAGUCACAAACUUUAGCCUUAGACCAUGAAUAAAUGCAGCAGCUCAACCACCAAAAUACUGCGCCUUUCUCCUUUGAAAAACAGCCCAAAAAUCCAUGAAAACUGACCAAAAACUCCAGAAAAAUGCCCCUCAAACUUCAGCUGAAAAAGCUGUCGGAAAGCAGCUCAAAAACGUCCCCUUUUUCAAUCAAAAACUCAGCGUUGUUAACCUGCAAAACCCAGCAGAAACGAUUCAAAACAGCCCCCAUUUCGGACAUAAAAUAGCAGCGUCAAAAUUGAGUUUCGAGUUCGACGGCGAAGUUUUCCGGUUGAAAUCUUGUUCGCGUUUCCGGUUCCGAUGCCAUGGUCCGAUUUCAAUUUUGUUAGCUCAUUGGUCACUGCCAUUGUACAAAGCUUGGCUUGGAGUUUCUCUUUGUUAAUAUAUUGAAGAUGGUUUUUUCACCGGUGAAGGUGCGGUUUUGUUUUACUUUACUAAUUUUUUUUAAAUGAAUAAAAUGCAUCUUCUAUAGAUUUGCAGUUUAUAACUUGCAUAAAACUAGCCUGCUGUUUAGUCUCUUAAUGUUUUAGCAAGAAUUUGAUAAAGGUCUAUUUAGUUGAAGUCUUAUUUGUUCUCAUGUCUAGUGUGAGUUUCUAACUUUCUGUUACUAUGCAUUAUUAGAAAUAAAUAGCUGUAGUAUUUUAAUAUUGACCACAACUGGAUAUGGCUACAAAAUAUCUAAGGGACUAAAUGUGACAGAAUUGGUUAUAUUACAAAGUUGGCGACAAGAUGACAAUCGGGCCAAGAACGACUCUGCCCAUGCCCAAUUGUCUCAUUUCAGUUUUGGUCCUUUCUCAAUAAGUUCACUAGUAAGCCCAUUUCUUAUAACUUAAUAAAUUGUCCAACUCCUUCUAACUUAGCAAGAUAAUUGAACUUGUUAAUGUAUCAAGAGCUAAUCAUACACAUCUUAUUCACAGUCAUUGCUCCAUAGUUCUCAUGCCAAAUAAAACUCCUAAGCCCAUGACCCUCACAAAAAUUAGCUAGCUCUUAUAGAAAAAUCGAGGUGUGUCAUUAGUUGAAUUUUCCAUGGCCCUCGCAAAAGGUGUAGUUGCUUUAGGCGCGUAAUUUAAAUUACUUUCCUAAAUUUGGGUGUGCAUUUAUAUGACCCAAAUCCAAAUCUCAACAAUGUUAGAUAAAAUGUGUCAUGGACCGCGGGAGCAUUUAUGUGACGUGGUUCAAGACGCGUUUUAGAUGACGUUGAAUCUUUCCUAAAAAAACAAUUAAAUAAAAGCGGUUAAUAAUUUAAAAUUAUACCAUAUGCUAAAACAUGUAUUAACAUUAGAUAAUAGGUCAAUUAUAACAGUUGAGCGACCGUUAUAGAACCACGGAACUCAGGAAUGCCUAACACCUUCUCCCGGGUUAAUAGAAUUCCUUAUCUAGAAUUUCUGGUACGCAGGCUUUAAGAAAUAAAAUUUCCUCGAUUUGGGAUUUUAAAAUAAACUGGUGACUUGGGACACCAUAAAUUAUCCCAAGUGGAGACUCUUAUUUUUAAAUAAAUAAUCCCGUUUCGAUUGUUACUUUAAUUGGAAAAACUCCCUCAUAUACCCUUCUCGGAGGUGUACGUAAAAAAGGAGGUGUGACAGCAUAGGUCCUUAUAUUUAGACCCUCAAUUUCUUUGCCUCCUUCAACACCCUGGACUCGGCUUGUGAGCUUCUUGAGCUCCUCUGUCAUGUUCUUAAUGAGCAGGUCCUUCUCGGUGGAUUUUGGAGUGUAUGAGAUUGGCUGAGUAGAGUGGGGUAAGGUUUCCACAUAUAUGGGAUUGUUUUGGUGGGUGUCGGCAGUUGGAGUGUAGUGGUGAACAUUAGUUGAAUUUUGCGGAUCAGGGAUAGGUUGUAAGGUAUUCUGAGGAGUAUGGUAAGUGGUUUGUGGGUAUUGAGUAGGAAGAUGUUGAUGCUGAGGAGGAGUGGGUAUUGAUGGAGGAUUAGGAUUUUGGGGAGUUGUUGCAUAUUGAUAGGGCACGGGAGGAUUUUGUGGACAUUGGUUUGGUGUGUUCUGAGGAGGUGAUGGGAUUUGAGCAUUUUAUUGGUUAAUGCCUGGGCCGUUUAGGGUGAGGGAGAGGUUUGCCAAGUUGCGGAUCUGCUCAAGUUCCCCUUGCAAUUCCAGUAUUUUCUGUUCUAACCGUAGGACCAAAUUAUUCUGGGCCGGAGUACUUCGACCGUCUGAAGUUUCAACAUUUUCCACAUGCGCAACAUUUUCUUUCCGGAUACCACUCAUAUCAUCCAUCUUAGUUUUUCCCUUGCCUUUUGGAUUACUUGGAGGAGGAGGGCCUCUAGAUCUAGUGAUAUGCUGACGAUGCCAGUAUGUGCGAACAAACCUUAGGGGAUGAGAAUAAUCAAAAUAAAGAAAAGUGUAAAAAGGUAAACAAGUCAGUAAAGAUUCUGAAAAGCAUUUGCAGCAUUUAAACACAUAUUGCGAGAAUGUAAAUUCACGUCCUAAUUUGGAGAACCUCAUUAUGCUCGAGGUAAACCCUGAGACAAGUAGAUUUGGAGAGAUUUAAUGACGAUAAAUGCCUCAUUUCAUUAAUGUAAUAAAUAAGACGAACCUAAACAUGACAAUAAAUAAAUGAGUUACUAAUGGUAUCAGCCUUAUUACAUUCGAAUUCAAAAAUAGAUAAACCUAAUAUACUUGGUCCUAGAGGGACCUUCCCCAUAUUUGACCCUCUUGGCUCUGUCAAUUAAAUUCCCCAGGUCGUGCAUGUCCAGUAGCAGGUAUGCCCUUGCUAGGUGUCCUCCCUCAUUGCUUUUUGCAUUCUGUCAGUCUACGACUCUUUUCCUCAUCUUCCCUUCCAGUUCCAUUAGACCAUGCUCCAAAUAUUCCAACUAUUCUGUCGGCCUUGUAGCCAUUUCCCUCCAAAUGUCUAACUUGUGUUAUUCAAAAUGCAUGGCUUCAGACCCAAGGACUCUUUUGCGUAGCCUCUUAUACUUUACUUGUGCUUCAACAACCUUAUCUAUGAUUGUAUUUCCUUGACCAAUCCCUAGCUCGACUAUUCCUGCUAUGUUAUCUUCUAAUUAUGAUGGAUAGAAGUACGCAUGAUAUGCGUGAUAUCGAUCUGGCUCGAUGGUAUCCUUUUCUACGACAAUCUUCAAAUGCCACAUGUGUUGGGCCUUACAUAUGUAUGGCAUGGUGUCAUCCUGAAAAUCUGCUCUGUAAUGACUCAUUUUGGAGACUCGUGGUAUGACUUGUUUUCUACCAGCUUGUCUUAUGACCCUGAUAGGAACAUAGGGAUGUAUUCCCCUUAACCUAAUCAGUACCAAAUGCGGAACAUCCCUGGAUCUGAUGAUGAAUUCAUUAGUAGGGAACCACUCGAACAUCCAGUGAACCUGGUCCUCGGUCAAAUUGCUGAAGAACUAUGCCCAUUCUGUAGCAUUCACUGGCUGUGCAAAUCUGUCUGGGAUAAAGGUCAUUCUUUUGGGAUGGUGGAAAGCUAUGUGAUCAUUCCAUGGUCCCCUUGGAUACUCUUGGUAGUAUUGGCCCCUCUGAAGAUGUUCUAACAACCAAAUCUGUAGUAGCAAGUUACAACCCUCAAAAUGUUUGAACCCUUUCUUGCAACAAGGAAGGUAGAUUUUCAAGAACCUUUUUUACAUGAUUUUUGUCGCUUGGUGAAACGUUUUCCCAUCAAUAUAACAAUAAAAGUGGUAUACUUUGGACCAUGCUGAACCUGGGGACUUCAUACCUCAUUUUCUGCAAAAAUAAACAGAGUUAGACCCUUGCCCCCUCCAGAUUCGACUACUUACACAUUAACGAUUAGCAUGUUGACAUUUAUCUCUCCAAAUGAUGCACAUAUCGUGGUUGCGCCCGUUAGAAUUAUGGAAAUCCUAGUGGACUUUGGACAAGGUUUUCUUAGAGGGUUAUUAUGCCGACAAAAUAUUAACCCAUGCUAGGUUUGAUCAUGAUGCAUGUACAGUUAUUACCAGAGUAAGGUUUCUAUAGAAGUCUAGACUACUACCCUCAAACGGACAACUUAAGAGGGAAAGGCGCGGAACCGUCGACUGCACCACUGAUCGACUAGUUUUAUCGCAAAUAAGUCUUUCCAAAUUUAAAGGGUGAUUUUAGGAAGAGCGCGGACAUUCAUCAAGCACCGCUAUAGUAUUAGUACGCAAGAGUGGAAUAUGAUGUUGAGCAUGCAGUUAUGCAAAAGAAAAUAACAUGUUGCCAAGUAUUUGCACGAUGAAUAAUGAUAAAAUGCGGUAUUUAAUAAUUGUAAAGACAUUAAGAAAGAAAAACAAAGAGACAAGUCAGUCUGCAUAGCAAAAAAAUGAUGAAACGGGGAAGAGAAAUCAUAAAUGAAUGAAGAUAGACAAAUAAAUUCACAUAGAGUGGGAAGGGAAAAUGGGUGUACAAGUAUUAACGGAAUAAUAAAGACAUGCUUAAAGACUAAUUCACAAACAAGUUUGUUAUGGUAAGAGCCUAAAGAUGUCCCCAGCAGAGUCGCCAUGCUAUCACGCCCCCUUUUUCUUGCGAAAUCGGGUUUCGACAUUUCUGGGACAACUCCUUUUGAGAGGGUAGGGAAUUGGGAUUAAAAGAGUCGCCACCUAAUGGAUUAAGGUGUGUUAGGGCACCUGGAGCAAAUAACUCAUGUUACUAGUUUACAUCACCAGAGAUCGAGUAAGGGCUCGAAAUUACCUUGAGGGGAAGGUGUUAGGCACCCCUCGAGGUCCAUAAUGGUGGGUCCUGACCAAACUUAAAUUAAGCAAAUUAGUCUAACGGGAAGAAAGCAAUCUGGACAAAUAAAAUACGCAGUUUAUUUAAAACAGGAAUAAGGGGGAGGGGGAGAGUCCUAAGUUUUUUAGCCUAUAGGAUCAUCCCGUGUAAUACUUUGUAACUAUCUCAAGUCGGGGUGUCACUCAUAGUACUUAGCGCACGGACUAUCACCUCCUGCUAUCCGAUUACUAUCUUUAAGUUGUUACCUAAAGCAUUCUAAUUGAUUAUAGUUCGAUCCCUAUGCGUGCACUACCCAUCCCUUACCUAUGGCCCUAGAGGUAUUAUGACCUCUAUUUGGGAUAGUUCUAGACUAAGUCUAGGUUGCUCGAAAAUGUAAAAGACUAAGCGACAAACAAAAACAAUUAGGACUUUCAGACAACAAGCAAAUAUAGGCUCAUAUUGACCUCCACAUAUAAAUAACAAAGCACGCAAUUGAUACAACAAACCUUAUUAACCUUAAGACCCUAUAGGCAAGAUGUCUAUACAAGAAAAUAGAGUGCAGAUGCAAUUUUAUUAAGGCAAGUGUUAAAACCUGUUGUUUGCCUAUUGAUUUUUAUUCAGUAUGAUGUGGGCAGUUCAGGCAGUAAUACAUCAUAAUUAUAGGUCUAGAAUUAUUAAAUCCUACAGGUAUAUUGCCUAAGUGAUUGCAAAGAGCGAUUGUAUUCAGAAUCAAUUGAUAGAAUUCUAUAGGCAUGAUUUCUACGAGUUUGAUGAUUACAGACCUAUAGACAUGGUUUCUAGGUGUAGCACCGACUUUAACUUACAGAGAUUGGUUAUAUUCCCUUUUAAUCCUAGAGGCAUGAUCUCUAACUGAUAUACUUACUUAAGUCCUAUAGGCAUGAUUUCUACGUUUGAAACUGGUUUUAGUCCUAUAGGCAUGAGAUCUACUACUGAAUUAAUUUAAAUCCUAUAGGCAUAAUUUCUAACUAAUUUUUCAUCCUAUAGGCAUGAUUUCCACGAGCUGUGUAUGGGUAGAAAUUAUGCAGAUUGCCAGAAAACCGAUCAAAUCAAACAUCGAGGUCCUAUAGGCAUGAUUGCUUAUGCACAUUUGUUGGAUUAUCUAUCCUAUGAGCAGGAUUUCUAAUAUGUAUUUUAAUGUCAACCCUAUAGGCAAGACUUCUAAUAUGCAAACGCAAAAUUAACACCAUCAAUGAAAAUCCUAUAGGCAGGAUUUCUAAACACAAUAUAGAACUCACACAGUUUUUACCAAAUGAACGAAUUGACAGCAUAACUAAAUCCUAUAGGCAGGAUCUUUUCCCAGUUUUAACAAAAAAAAUAAGAAAACCCUCCAGCUUUACUAAAUAUUCCCAGAAUCUGUUAUUACAAAGUUAUUAUAGACCAGAAUAUCAAAAGAAUUACACAAUAGUAAUGAGACACUAUAGGGAGCCUUCAUUAUGCCCAAAUAAACCUGGGGACUAGGCCUUCCAACCAUAACAACUUUGAGGCACAUCAUAGUGAUCCAUCUAUAGCACAUUAGAACCAGGGUUUCCAUGUGUCAAAGUUCCCAAGGGCCUCAAGGACCCAGAGCAAUGCUCACACCAGAACCAUACAUUCAGAAGAUAGCUCAUAAAAGAUUGGAAAUCCAAUGUGUCAGAGUUCACAGGAGUCUCAUGUGGACCCUGAGCAUUGCUCAUACUGGAGUGGUUGAGAACCUAAGGGACUAAGAGUGGGGGUUUUAAAAUUAUUACAUAAAAGAGGUAGGGGCAGGAUUUUUAAAAAAAAAUUUGCUUUCAGAAGAAAUAGGGUUCAGAACACAGCGUUGCAAGCUGAAAUACACCAAACAAAGUAAUGCUCAAACACAUAAUUCAAGUAAGUUAAGAGUCUAGUUAAGCUAAACAUUUAUGCUAGCACCUAGGACAAUCAUUGUUUAAUCAUAGAAGCAAUUAGGCAAACACUUAAGUUGGUCAGACGUAUGAAUUAUGUAACCAUACGAAAAUCUGUAGAGUUAGGAUUAAUGAACCAAUUUCAUGCUAAUAGUAUUAUAGAGAUACUAAGUUCAGAACAAGUGUAGGAUUAGCAAAUAGUGCAUGAAACAGAUUUAGACAUUAGGCUAACUUAUAAGAGGAUUCAUAUUAUUCAAACUAAUUAAGCUUAAACUAACAGUGUCACUCAUAGGACCAGAUGAGAUCAUAGAAUCACAUAAAACGACAGAAUCAUACUUGGAAUUUAAACAUGCUAGUCGAGCAAAGCAGAGAGAAUGAAAUUGCAAAGGAUUAGGGCAUACCAGUUAAGUAAGAAAGCAAGUAAAUAUUAUACAGCAGUUAAGUUCCAGAAUAACUUGGCUUUGACUUUCAGCCGGCCAAAACCAGAGACAAUUAGCACAGAAUUAGAAUAAGAGAGCUUAAGUUUUUAGUGAGAGUAUGAGAGUUCGAGUCUGUAUUCAAGGGAUGGAGGGGGAAAGGGUUUAAAUAGUGUUCAAUUAGGCAGACCAAUAAGGGAAUAAAUCAUAUAUACAAAAAUAAAGAAUGAAAAAUAAUUCUAGAAUCAAUCAAUUAGCAGGACAUAACAGCGUGUAAUCAGGCAAGUACUACUUAGACUAAGGUAAGUAUUUUACAGAAUCAAUCAACAGUCAAAUACAGGAUCGACUAAGGUAAGGAAAUAAUGAGAAUAUGGUAAAUCGAGCAAAAUAAGGAAACAUCAGUACCAUACAAGAAAGGAAAGAUUAGAAUCUUAGCAAAAGAUUUCAGAACCCUAAUUUUUGGGUAAACCAUAGAAUCAGCGGAGUAAAAUAAGGUAGACAAGAGAAUAUUCAAAACGCAAACAAUAAAAUCAGCACAAUAUCACAUAAUGAACCUAGACAGGAGUUUUUAAAGAAAACAUAAGAUUUGAACCAAAUCUGGUUCGAUUAAAAAAGCUUAAAACCCUAGUUUAGGUAAGUAAAAAAUUUAAUGGAAAAUAGGCAGAUUUAUGAGUAACAAGGUGAAUACAGACAAAAAAAAAUAUUAAAAACAAACUAAACUUGAACCAAAACUUGUUCGAAUCAAAAAACUGAAAGCCCUAAUUAAUUUUUAAAAGAAAAAAUUAUUAAGAAAUAACUAUGAAAAUCAUAAUAAAGGGUGUAUAUAGAUAGAUUUACGGAAACAUUACAGAGAAUAUUCAAAAAAAAGAAACUGUAACAGAUCUUGAAAGAUCUGAACCCUAGUUUUAGGGUAAUUGAAGAAUCGGGAGAAUCUUAGAGAUUCAUACCAUAAGAGACGAAGAAAUAACAUAAAAGGAAAGAAAAUGAAAGUUCGAACCAGAUUCGGUUCAAAGCGAAGGAGAUCGGCUAGCCAUAGUAGGCAAGCUAUUAGGUUAUGCCAUAAUCGAGUAGCCAGUAGCGAGAUGAGAUUGAUAAGGUAAGAAAAUCACCAAGAGAUUCCAUAUCUGAUUGGAAUCAAAGGGGAAUUUGAGGGGAUUUAGGUGACGGCGACUAGGGUUUGACAGAGAGAAAAGGAGAGGUUGAGAGAGUUCAAGGGCAGCGGGUAAAGGGAAAUGGGGUUAGGGUUUCUAGGUUGGUAUAAUUAAAAGGGGCUGGGGUAUUGGGAGCCGUUGAUCUUCUGAGAUUAACGACUGGGAUUUUAAAGAGGAAAUGGGUCGGGUUAAUGGGUAUUGGGCUGAUGUAUUGGGCUGGGAUAAUGGGUAGUGUAAGAAAAGGGCUAGAUUUUAAAUACUCAAUUAAAUCAGUAAAUAAUUUAUAAAAAAUAAUUAGUAAAUAACAAAAAAUAUAAUUUGUGCAUGAAAAUUAUUUUAAAUAAUUACUUAACAUUAUAAAAUAUAUAAAAUUAUUUUUAUAUAAAUAAUGUAAUUAUGUAUAUAGAUAUGGGCUAUUAUUGCAAAAUAUGCAAUUUUAGCCUAAGGAUGCAAAAAAUAAAUAUAUAAAAAAUAUUUAAAGCUUAUUAAGGAUGUAAAUGAUGAAAAAUUAGAUAAUAAAUUAUUAUAAAAUUAUUUGUGAUCCAAUUAAUAAUUAUUCAUAUAAAAAAAUGCAUGAAUAAAUUGAUUAGAAGCCUUUAAAAAUUAUAGAAAAUUAUGAAAAGAAUACUCGGUAAUGCUCAAGCACUAUUUUGAAGAUAUAUAUAUGCAUAUUUAAAAUAUGUGAGGGAAAAUUGGGUAUCAACAACCGUACCCCCUCCUUUGGUCGAAGACAUUCAUGAUUUGGUUAGUCGGGUCCUCCCUCAUACAAUGGGGAUUCGCUAAUGGCCAGCCUUCCUCAAGAAGUUAGGGCCUGCGCUUUCUGUGACCGGUGAGUUUACCCAUUUAAAUCUAUAUUGUCGUGGCCUUAUGGUCGCUUGCUUCUUUUUAUUUUGUGAAGACCGACCUUUUAACCUUCUUUUUUUUUAUCCCGGGGAUCCUCGAGAAGGCCCGAGGUCCCCUCCUCAUGCAUUUUGCAAGAGGAACACUCCAACUUCGUAGUCCGCUCCUACUGUGACUAUGGCCAGGCCUUCCCGACUGUCCACUUCCAUUUUGCCUCCUAUUGAGGCUAGGUCGGCUCGGUCAUCGACUGCAUUAACACCAGAAACACCAGCCUCUCCCUUGCUUCAUUUAAUAGAUGAAGAGUCAUCACCGAGCGAGGAGGGUUUGAUCUUUCGUAAAAGGAGGUCGGUAGGCGUCGAUGAAAGGACAAUCCGAGCCGUAGAUUCAACAAAGGGUGAUUGCGAGUCGGCCACCAUCAUGCUUGAAGAUGAUGUAGAUCUGUCAUCUGAAGUCCCGCCAUUAGCGGGGGCCGUGGAAGGCAUACCCUUCCACAAUGUCGUGGUUAGAGUUGGUGAGCCACAUGUGGAAGUUUCGGGUACCGUGCUUUGAGAUAAGCCUUCGUACUCAUGGACGGUUGACGUUCCUACCUUGUUCACCGACGGGAGAGAUAAGGGUGUUGCUUAGGACGGCUACGAAAUGGGCUCUGAUCUUUACGCCGAUAAGGUACAGAUACUGAGUGAGGGGUUUACUCGGGUUGAAUUAAGGUUAGAAGGGUCCACGCGGACCAUUGUGAUCCUUAUGGAUCGGGACUUACUAGUGAUCAAGAUUCAGAGACUCUGCAAAGUGAUCCUAACAGAAGAGCAUGGUCCGUGUCCAAAUUGCACGGCCGUGGUUGACGCUAAUGCGAAGGAGACAACUUUUACGCUCCCAGCAAAAUCAAGUCCAAACCAAGCACAAAAGAGAAGAAAGAUCUGCGUCUGCUUUUGCACGGCCACGGAAGUCCAAGCGCUGAUGUGCUCAGUAUUGCGCUGACAGCAAAACCUCCGUAGGGGUAUUUUUGUCCAGUAAUUUUAGUUAUGUAUAAAUAGAUCUUUUUCACAUUUUAGGUCAUCUUUUGUAUCAGGGAGCUCGUGAACAGCCGUACUUUACCACUUUGAGUAAUUUUAGAGUAGCUUUAGCUUAUAUUCUUAGUUUUAAUUCUUGUAAUCAAUUUUUAUGGCUUAUUUUUCAUUUUCAUCUUUGAUUUAUACCUUGAUUAUGAGUAGCUAAACCCCAUUAGCUAUAGUUGUGACCCAACCCUAGUGUGGGCAUUUAAUGGGUCUUCAAUUUUAGGGCUUAAUUGUUUAUGGAUUAGUGAUAUUUAGCUUGAUCCAUGCUUUAAUUGUAGAAUUGGUGGUUGCAAACAUUGAUUCGCGCCUUUAUGACUUAGAUUCUUCUNNNNNNNNNNNNNNNNNNNNNNNNNNNNNNNNNNNNNNNNNNNNNNNNNNNNNNNNNNNNNNNNNNNNNNNNNNNNNNNNNNNNNNNNNNNNNNNNNNNNNNNNNNNNNNNNNNNNNNNNNNNNNNNNNNNNNNNNNNNNNNNNNNNNNNNNNNNNNNNNNNNNNNNNNNNNNNNNNNNNNNNNNNNNNNNNNNNNNNNNNNNNNNNNNNNNNNNNNNNNNNNNNNNNNNNNNNNNNNNNNNNNNNNNNNNNNNNNNNNNNNNNNNNNNNNNNNNNNNNNNNNNNNNNNNNNNNNNNNNNNNNNNNNNNNNNNNNNNNNNNNNNNNNNNNNCAAAGUCACUCAAACUACCAAGAGGUAUAGAGUGAGUAACUAUGUGUAAAGGUUAUAUCAUGACCCCAAAUAUAACAAGCUUGUCCUAAAUUUUAGAUCCUAUUAGAUACUCGCCUUGGUGUAACUCACUUCCCUAGUGCUUUUUGUCAAUUGAGAAAACUUUUACAAAAAUAUUGUACUUAGUUUAUUUUCAGCUAUCAAUAGUAUUAAACAUAGAUUAGAAACACAUCCAAACAUGGUUAGAAGUGCAAUUAAAAGCAACACGCAUAGUUAGAUUAGAUAGAAACCUAACUCCCAACCAACAUUAACUCCCUGUGGAAAUCGAUCCCGACUUCCAGGUAAAAGCUGCAUCAACCACUCCUCGCCAUUAUAUAGUGGUGUAGGGUUAGAGCCGAUCACCUUUUUGGCGCCGUUGCCGGGGAGUUAAAUGGUUUUGGCUAUCUAUCUGACUAGUUGUGUGUCUUGGUUUUCUUUCCUUCUGUUUUACUAACUUGUGUGAGUUAAUCGAUUCAGGUACAAAAUGGCAAAUAAUAAUCUUAUCGGAAAUGUUCUCCCGGGGGAGGAGGUAGAUGAUACUGCUGAGGAUGAGAUGCCUCUAGUACCUCAAGCUCAAAUAAGAGGCCGCCAGGCUAAUGACAAUAUUCCAAACCCUCCCCCAGCUCCUCCGCGAAUAGCUCCUCGGGUGCUUCCAAAUGAAAGGUAUGCAAGUGCAAUUGUCCCACCUUGGAUCCGGACAGGCAAUUUCCAGAUUACAAAUGUCAUGUUGACCUUAUUGGAGAAAAUAGGGUACUUCACAUGCGCUCCCCAUCAGAAUUCAUAUAAAUAUCUAAAGGGCUUUGUGGAUACCUGUUGGGGUAGCAAACAGACAAAUGUGUCGGAGGAUGCAUUAAGACUGAGAUUUUUCCCUUUUUCACUAAGAGGGAAAGCUUUGGACUGGCUCAAAAGACUCCACAACUAUUCUAUCACUACGUGGGAUGAGUUGGCUGACAAGUUUAUAGCCAAGUUUUUCUCACCGGGACAUAUGGCUGCAUUAAGGGAUGAGAUCUUAGCUUUUAAAUAGGAACCAAAUGAACCCCUUCAUGUAAUCUGGGAUAGAUAUAGAACUAUGGUCAAGGAAUUCCCCAACAAUGAUAUGACUGAAGCAAUGAUCCAACAGACAUUUUAUCGGGGUAUAAAGAGGAUCAAUUAAUGUGUGGUAAACUAGCUAGCAGAGGUAAUUUUAUAAAGCUGCUUUAUGUUGAGGCCUGUAAGAUUCUUGAUGAGAUGGUUGACACUUCUUCAACCUGGCGGAGUCGGGCAAAUGUUCCUUAGGGGGACCCCCAUGUCAUAAAUCUUCACAAGGAACUUCAAGACAUUGGACAAGCCAUAGCUAAGUUGACAACAACCAUGAACCAGUUAGCUAAAGCACAGCUUCAGCAGAUUCAGGGACCAAAGCAAGUAAACGCAAUAGAAGGGGUUAAUCUAUUGGUAAACAAGAGGAGAUAACAUGGUCAACAAUGCAAGGCAAUCAAGAUCAAUGUGAGCAAGGUAGUAGUGGUUACAACCAGGAUGAUGGGUAUGGUGAGAAAAGUGAAGAGGUUUUGUAUACCAACAACUAUCAAGGACAACGGGGUAAUACUCCAAAUCAACAAUGGAGAUCGCAAGGGAAUAAUCAGAAUUGUGGCAACCAAGGAUAAGGAAAUUGGAACAAUAACAACAACUCCAACAAUUGGGGGAACAACAACCAGAAUUGGCGUGAUAAUAGCAAUUAGGGUGGCAACAGCAACCAAGGCGUUGGAAUAAUGGUAAUCAAGGUAAUCGGGGGCUAGGUUUUCAAAGGCCUCUAUUGUUUCAACAACCAAACAAUCCGCCUCCAUUUUUCUCCCAAGGUCCUAGCUCGUCCAACAAUGAGAUGAGACAGAUUGAGUCAAUGUUUGAGAAAAUAAUGAAGAAGAAUGCCGACUCUGAUGCCCAAUUGGUGUCCCAUAAUACUUCUAUCCACAAUCUAGAGGUCCAACUUGGAUAGAUUUCGCAAGCUUUGAACAUUCGCCCUAAGGGGGUACUAUUUAGUGACAUGGUAGUAAACCUGAAAGGUGGGAACAAUACCGGUCAUGCAAUGGUGGUGACCACAAGGAGCGGUAGAGGUGGUGAAGCAAGUACCUCCAAGCAAAAGGAAGUUGUGAGUUAUGAUGUUGAAGUGCAAAAUGACGUUGAUCCAUUAGUUGACGAGCAAGUGAGUGAAGAGAAUGUGAAUGGUGAGGUGAGAAUUUAUAUUCAUAACAAUGAGGAGGAGACUCAAAAUGACGUGAACCCGUCUAGGGAAGACGUGAUAGACAUGCCAGAAAUGGUAAUGCCUAAAGCCAAGGCUCCCUUUCCAAGGCCUCCUCCACCCUACCCUCAAAGACUUGCAAAGCAGAAGAAUGAAAACCAGUUCAAGAAGUUUAUUGAGAUAAUGAAAAGUUUAUUGAUCAAUGUGCCCUUGGUGGAAGCUCUUGAGCAAAUGCCGGGAUAUGCCAAGUUUAUGAAAGACUUGGUAACUAAGAAGAGAUCUAUAGAUUGUGAGACCAUCAAAAUGACUCAUCAAGUGAGUGCCAUUGUGCACUCGAUGGUUCCAAAGCUUGAAGAUCCCGGCGCAUUUACCAUUCCAUGUACCAUUGGGAAUGCAGAUUUUGCAAAGGCCUUGUGUAAUUUGGGAGAAAAUAUAAAUUUGAUGCCUUACUCCGUAUUCAAAACUUUGGGUAUUGGUCAAUCGAGAGCUACUACAAUGAGAUUGCAAAUGGCGGAUAGAACAAUAAAGAGGCCGCUUGGUAUUAUUGAUGAUGUUCUUGUCCAGAUUGACAAGUUUAUUUUGACUGUGGAUUUUGUGAUUCUCGACUACAAAGUCAACUAUGAGGUGCCGAUAAUAUUGGGAAGGCCUUUAUUAGCAGUGGGAAAAACAUUGGUUGAUGUGGAAGCAUGGGAGCUCACCAUCCGGUUGCGUGACGAAAACGUUGUCUUCUACGUAUGCAAAUCAAUGAGUCAGCCAAAUAAUACUGAGGUUUGUUCUUUUGUGGAUCUGGUGACAGAGGUGAUAGUUGAUGACACGAGUGCUAUGAUCAAUAUGGAGGAUCCUUUGGAAACUGUAUUGUUGAACUAUGAUGUGACCGAGGAUGAAGGCUUGGUAGAGUAUGUCAAUACCUUGCAAGGAAUGGGUUCUUACUCCUAUAAGCCCCGUAGACUUUCCUUAGAUCUUGAGAAUAGAAAGACUUCACCAACAACGCCCUCAAUCGAGGAACCAUCCGUAUUGGAGUUGAAGACUUUUCUUCCACACCUUAGGUAUGAAUUCUUGGGACCUUGUUCAACUUUACCUGUUAUUCUUUCUUCGUGCCUUACUAACGUGCAGGUAGGUGCCACCCUUGAGGUGCUUCAAAGAAGGAAGAGGGCAAUUGGAUGGACUCUAGGUGAUAUUCGGGGGAUAAGCCCUGCCUUUUGCAUACACAAGAUUAUACUUGGGGAUAAUGCCAAAUCCUCCGUGGAACAUCAAAGGAUGUUGAAUGAGGCUAUGCAAGAGGUCGUCAAGAAGGAAGUUAUCAAGUGGCUAGAUGUAGGGGUUGUGUAUCCCAUGUCGGAUAGUUCAUGGACUUUACCGGUACAAUGUGUGCCGAAAAAGGGGGGUAUGACUGUGGUCACAAAUGAGCAAAAUGAGUUGAUCCCUACUAGGACUGUCACCGGACAGAGGGUAUGCAUGGACUACUAGAACCUGAACAAAGUGAUCCGCAAAGUGCUCUUAAUCAUAAAGCGCCUACCUACAAUAUUCAUGUUGUACUACAGGAGAAUAAUUCCAUUCCCCAUUUGUCCUCACUGCAAUGUUGUGGAAGAUACUGAGCACAUCUUCCUCUAUUGCCUACGAAACAACACCAUCUGGAACACUCUCCAUAUAGACUUUAAACCACCAUAUUUUAGUACGUGGGUUAUGAUCCACUCCCAAUCUAGACUCAACAAUGAGUGGAAGAGGUCAGUGGAAGAAUAAUACCCAACUAUGAGUCGGAGUCGAUUUUCUCAGGGAGCUAACAAUGGGUGUUAGAAUGUAUACUUGAUGCAUGAAGACGAAACAACUUAAAUACACUUCCAAACACGUUGGUUUUGCAAAUUACUUCUCUAAACUACACUAUCAAUGAUCGACUAGAGAAAUGAAACUAGAAAUUGACUAAUUAUUUUUUUUUUCAAAUAGGUAAAAAGCCUCGGCCUCUGCCCCGAACCCGGCCUCAACCUGCUCUAGCAGGGGGCGCAGGUGUCUGGUCAUCUCCAGUUUCACGUGUCCUCACCAUCUGUGAGAGAAUAGAAGACAUAAUUUUAGAAUUUCAAAGUCAACAAUUUUGCAUGACAAGAAAUCAAAAGAAGCAAAAUUUUCCUAACAAUUCCAUAGCCUUCCGAAGAUAAGUAUAGAUGUCUCUGUACCGAUCUGCGAGACUCUAAUAAACCAUCUUGUGAAUCAUGUCACCUAUGAACCUAGAGCUCUGAUACCAACUUGUCACGUCCCAAAUUAUCCCUCCGCAAAUUUGUCGUGACUGCACUUAGUCUCUACAACUAGGUAAGUCUAACACUUUGCGGAAAUGAAAUGAAAAACAUGAAAAUUAACAAGUAACAGUAACAAAUAUUUUAAAUAAAACAUUUGAGAUGUCGCUCGUCAGAUACAAUAAUCAACUCUCAAGAUAUACACAACUCUCGAAAGACCUAGAACACCGUAAGUCACAAGCUUCUACGAAUUUCUAACUGUUCUAUACAUCAAUGUCUAAAGAGAUAAGGGAAUAAUCGACAUAAGGGGAUAGAGAGGGACUCCAAGGUCUGCGAAUGCGGGAAGAUGUACCAUGAAGUCUCCUGAACAGCAGCAAACAUGCAACUAAACUCGAGGCUGGUAAGAGUUACCUGGAUCUUCACAGGAAUACAUAUGUAGGAAAAGGGCAUGAGUACACCACAAUGGUACCCAGUAAGUGCCAAACCUAACCUCGGUUGAGUAGUGACGAUGUCAGGUUAGGGCCCUACUAGUAUAUAUAUAUAUAUAAUAAAAACAAGACAAAAUGAAAUAUCACAAUAAAAUAAAGACUGAAAUUUAACAAGAAUGAAACCAUAGAAAGGUAACAACUCAGUACACAAAGAUAACAACAAGGGAUAUCCCGAGAUACCAUCUCGUAGUCCCAAACGUAAAUAUGCAGGGGGAUCUCCCGAAAUAUCGUUUCGUAGUCCCAAAGUAAAUGUGCAAGUGGAUCUCCCGAAAUACCAUUCCGUAGUCCCAAAGUAAAUACGCAAAACUGGGGGAUCUCCCGGAAUACCGUUCCGUAGUGAAAAUAAAUAUACAACUCAAACAAUAGGAUAAUAGUUACAGCAAGAAAACCUACAAUUUAGACUAUAUAUAUAGUAUAUCUCUGCUUGAUAAUUUUUGUAGUUACAGAAUUUUUGUAAUUGUAAAGCUCAAGAAGGUGGCAAUAGGUGGAAUUAAAUUUAGGAAUGGAUUUUUUGCCCGAAAUAAUAAUUAGGAAUGGAUUAUAUGGUCCUUAUUUAUAAAGACUACAACAUAGUAAAAUAAACCGAGUAUUUUUUAAAAUAUAUCUCUUAAAAAUAUUUCCAAAAUUCUAAAAUUUAUUUUAUGAAUUCGGACUUAAUUUUAAAAAGUUCCUAUUAAAAUGAGAACUGAUGAUAGAUACACAUGGAAACUAAAACAUGAUAUCUUUAGAAAUUGGUUAAAAGAUUAAAUUUAAUUUUAAUAUGAACUUUAUAUUUUCACUUCUUUUUGGAUAGUAUUAUAUAGUCAUUGCAGAAUCUACAAACUGCAAGUAAUUUAAUUUCAAUCAUAAACUUUUGCAAUAAGCAAAACUGUUUUAUCACUUAGCUAUUUUAACAUGGAUGCUGUAGGUAGGCGUUUUAUGAUUAAGAGCACAAGAAUAAGCUGUGUCCAAGAGUGUUCGAAACCCCUUGGUGUUUGUGUAGAUAGGCAUUGCCCGAGUAAAGAGUAAGCUGACUUGAUAGUGAAUGAGCCAUCAAUAGUGGGUUGCCAGAAGAAGUUAUCUAUGGCAGCUUCAGAGAAGGUAGAUAGGUGUUGUCGAUUAGUCAAUUUGGAUCGCAAACCUCAUGAUAGCUGUCUAAAUAGUCCUAGGGAUCCUCUGAAGAUGUACCGCCAUAAGUAGUAGUGAAGAGCUUGGUGAACCUGUCCAACCUCCACAAAUAAGGGUGUUCAAAACCAAACCGAAACCGAAAACCGAACCGAAAUCGAAGCUUAAUGGCUUAUUGGUAUCGGGUUAACGAUUUAACGGACGGAGAACGGAUUGAAUUUUUUUUUAUUAACGGCUUAUUGGUUUGGGGCGGAUUAUUCAAUUUUCUUAAUGGAUAAUCCGCUAACCCAUUAAGAAUAAGAAUAUAUAUAUAUAUAUAUAUAUAUAUAUAUAUAUAUGUAUAAAAUUUAUUUUUAUCCAUAUCUAUCUAUAUUAUUAUAAAAGCACGAAUANNNNNNNNNNNNNNNNNNNNNNNNNNNNNNNNNNNNNNNNNNNNNNNNNNNNNNNNNNNNNNNNNNNNNNNNNNNNNNNNNNNNNNNNNNNNNNNNNNNNNNNNNNNNNNNNNNNNNNNNNNNNNNNNNNNNNNNNNNNNNNNNNNNNNNNNNNNNNNNNNNNNNNNNNNNNNNNNNNNNNNNNNNNNNNNNNNNNNNNNNNNNNNNNNNNNNNNNNNNNNNNNNNNNNNNNNNNNNNNNNNNNNNNNNNNNNNNNNNNNNNNNNNNNNNNNNNNNNNNNNNNNNNNNNNNNNNNNNNNNNNNNNNNNNNNNNNNNNNNNNNNNNNNNNNNNNNNNNNNNNNNNNNNNNNNNNNNNNNNNNNNNNNNNNNNNNNNNNNNNNNNNNNNNNNNNNNNNNNNNNNNNNNNNNNNNNNNNNNNNNNNNNNNNNNNNNNNNNNNNNNNNNNNNNNNNNNNNNNNNNNNNNNNNNNNNNNNNNNNNNNNNNNNNNNNNNNNNNNNNNNNNNNNNNNNNNNNNNNNNNNNNNNNNNNNNNNNNNNNNNNNNNNNNNNNNNNNNNNNNNNNNNNNNNNNNNNNNNNNNNNNNNNNNNNNNNNNNNNNNNNNNNNNNNNNNNNNNNNNNNNNNNNNNNNNNNNNNNNNNNNNNNNNNNNNNNNNNNNNNNNNNNNNNNNNNNNNNNNNNNNNNNNNNNNNNNNNNNNNNNNNNNNNNNNNNNNNNNNNNNNNNNNNNNNNNNNNNNNNNNNNNNNNNNNNNNNNNNNNNNNNNNNNNNNNNNNNNNNNNNNNNNNNNNNNNNNNNNNNNNNNNNNNNNNNNNNNNNNNNNNNNNNNNNNNNNNNNNNNNNNNNNNNNNNNNNNNNNNNNNNNNNNNNNNNNNNNNNNNNNNNNNNNNNNNNNNNNNNNNNNNNNNNNNNNNNNNNNNNNNNNNNNNNNNNNNNNNNNNNNNNNUAAGUGUUUGGUCUAACUUUAGAUUAAGGGAUUAGGAGUUGUGUCCUAUUUGCUACAUGCUAUUUGUCGGGUACGACGUAUAGGCAUGGUGACGAGUAUCUAUAUGUUGGUGUCAAGCAUGACCGUGAGUCUUAGAUUGAAAUUAUUGUGUUCUUGACAAAUCCUACGAAUGCCUAAGUUGUUGAUUCUCUGUGUUGAGCAAGGAUUAUGAUUAUUCUCGUGGGAAAAUUAUUAGGAACAAACAAUACUGAAAAGGACAAGCACAACUAUGGUGCAAUAAGCAAAUCAACAUCACGAAGGUCACCUUGCCUAUAAUGCCAUGAGUCCUAAACUGAAUCACAAUAUACGUGCGAAGAAUCAUGUAACCCUCACAUUCCGUCAUUGUAUAAGAGAGAAACAUAUAACAUAAACCAAGGCGCGAAUAACAUCCAUUCCGCCCGAUGAUAUAUAUAUAUAUAUAUGGUAACAACUGCGCAAGAACAAACAGGUCCGUUCCGAUAUAGAAUACAUAUUCUUAUUAGGCUCAAAAGCAACCCCCAAACCAAUUUUCGAUCAUCCCCCAAACAUGCAAUUAACCUUCCAAAAGCCCAUAGCAGCCUUUCCAUAACACCUACUAUCCAUCAUCCAAUCCUCGACAUGUCUUCACAACUUGCAAUCAAGGAAUAGUUUGCCAACGAGAACAUCCAUCUCUGAGCCUCACGAAUACCAUAAUCUUCAUAUCCAAUCUCAACACCGCCACUCAAAUUGCUGACACGUAACUCAUACCUCCUUACCUUGCGAAAAAAAUACUCAUAAGUCAAAAUACAAUGUACCUGCCAACAGGUGAACUCUCCUCUGGUGGGAACAUAUAGUGCCAGCAAGACCUUAAACACCCAAAAUCGACCGUGUCAUCAACAACUCAUAUCCUUCCCUCCAAAACUAUCUACAUCCUUGUACAUGCAACCUUUCAACCCCACACAGUGCCUCGCCUCUAACAUGCUAACUCGCAACACUAUGAAAAUCUCAUAGUCAACUCUGAAUUAUAAGCAAAUUGAACACCUCAUCACCCGAGAAUCUUUCAUUUAACUCAAUCUAGGAUAACACCACCACACGCAAUAUAGCUUCUAUACUUGUAGAAAACAUCAACUCCAACCAUGUUCAUAUAUCUGGUUUCUGCUUAAUAGUUCUGUUGGUUAAUUUCUAUUAAUUUAUUCAGUAAGUGUUAGACUUACCUAGUCGUAGAGACUAGGUGCCAUUACCACAUCCUACGGAAGGAAACUGGGGUCGUGACACUACGCAGAUUUAGGAAGCCAUUUUAAAGGGGCUAAAACAAGGGGUUUAGAGAGAGAAAAAGUUUGUUCUUCAACUUGGAAUUGAUUUCAAGAGAGAAGGAGGAGCUCUUACACCAUGGAUACACUUCAAGGUAAGUUAUUUUAGUACAAGGAUGAUUAUAUUACAUCAUUUAGUGUAGUAAGUGCAAAGUAGUAGUAAGUGCGGUACUGUUUUGCAAAAAUAAAGGUACGCAAUCUCUUAUUUAUUAUAUCUGUAAAACAUUUGUCAAUGCCGAUACGAGGUACCCACACCUUGAGAAAUUGGCUCUGGCCCUGGUUGUAGCUUCAUGAAAGCUUAGACCCAAUUUCCAGUGCCACCAUAUCUCGGGCAUCACCAUUUUUCCUUUAAGAAGCAUUUUACAUAAACCCGAGCUAUCGUGGAGGCUGGCCAAGUGGGUCAUCGAGUUAAGUGAGCACGACAUCAGAUAUCAACCUCAGACAACAAUAAAGUCGCAAUUUUUUGUCGACUUUGUCGCAGAAUUUAGCAUAAAGUAAUGCUUGAGGGCGAGAAGGAAGCCUCUCAAGCUUCUCUUAAAACAUAAGACCUGUGGGUCCUAUACACCAAUGGCGCAUCCAAUGAUUCUAGGUUCAGACUGGGACUCGUGCUCGAGGUCCCAUGGAUGAAGCAAUUAAGGUACCCGAAUAUGACUAACAAUAAGGCCGAGUAUGAGGCUGUAAUUGCAGAGACUAGCACUCAAAUAUAGGGGUGGGCAUAAAAUUCGAAAAACCGAAUUCCGAAUCGAACCGAAUUAAUUUGGUAUUUCGGUUUCGGUUUUUUUCGGUAUUUCGGUACAAAUAUUUCGGUAUUUCGAUAAUUCGGUUCGGUAUACGGUAUUGUAUUUUUUAUAUUUCCGUAUUUCGGUAUACCGAAAUAGUGCAAUGUGUAUUCUGCAUUUUUUCACGUCAUCGUUUUUUCCCUCAUCUCUCUGGCCAGGGAGAUCACAAAAGAACAAACACAGAAUAUUCAAUCCAAAAAAAUGGCUAUAUCAUCAUCUUCAUCGUCCAUGCAAGAUAUCUUGAAGCAAUGCAAAUACCCAUUCAUCCUCUCUUUUUUCCUUUUGCUAAUCUUCGUUAUUUUCCUCCUUAUUUCAAACUCCCAGAAAUCUCCCAUAUUCGUUGCCAUCGACUUUGCUCAACAUACCUCUCGAUCCAAAUCAUCAAUCCCUGCUGAUAAUCCGGACUUGAAUCCUAACACUAUUUCAAACAAAACGUCCCGCUGGGUAAUAAUAUUACGAUCAACCCUGAGUCUAAAGUCCCGCUAGAUAAUAAUUAUACGGUCAAUACUGAUUCUGAUACAUUAAUCAACAAUGAACUGGAAACGUUCUCUUAUGAUUGCAAUCUGUUGAUGCGAUUCCUGGAAUUCUCCUACUGAGAUGUUUAUGUAGUAAUGAGUAGGAAAACGAUGAAAUUGUAUCUAAAUGAUCCUCUAUUAUGUUUCAGCUGGGAGCUCUAUACAGCGAAGAUUUGGUUUAAACCGAAACCAUACCGAAACCGUACCGAACCAAAAUAAGAAAUACCAAACCGUACCAAAAUAUUUUGGUACGGUAUUUGGUAUACACAAUUGAUAAACCGAAUAUCAAAAUACCGAACCGAAAUUUUUAAAUACCGAACCAAAAUACCGAAUUCCCACCCCUACUCAAAUAUGGGGCAAAGCGGCUUAAACUUCGUUGUAAUUCCCAGCUUGUAGUCAACCAAGUUAGAGGGACUUUCCAAAUCAAAGAACAAAGGUUUCAAAAAUAUCAAAACGAGAUCUGCAAAUUGCUUCCCAAUUUCGACAAAUUCCAGCUUGACUUAAUCCCACGAACUCAAAACAUCGAAGCAGACAGCCUCAACAAAUUGGCCGCCGCCACCAAAAGCAUAACGACCGUGUAGUCCAGCUCCUCAACUCUUCAUUAGACCAAUUUGAAGUAAAAUAUGUAAAUUUAAAGUGGGACUGGCACAAUGGUAUUAUUACUUAUUUGUAGGACGAUAUCCUCCCAAAUGACAAAAAGGAGGCUAAAAAGCUAAGAACGCAAGCCGAUAGAUACAUCCUCAUUCACAACGAAUCAUACAAAAUAACGUACGGUGGUCCCUUGGCAAAAUGCUUAGAAACAAGCCAAACCCAACGCGUACUCGAGGAAGCUCUUUGCGGCACUCAUUUCGGUGAUCGAGCACUCGUCAGGUGUCUUAUACGGGCUGGGUGCUAUUUGCUUACCAUGAAGAAAGAUGCUUCAGAAUUCGUGAAGAGGUGCAAAUAGUUUCUUAAGUACGCCCCAAUAAUCCACCAAGCAGGCGAACUCCUCCAUUCGGUCACCAUUCCAUGGCCAUUUAUUAAGUAGGGAAUUGAUAUAGUGGGUCCACUUCUGUCGUGAUGAGGUAAUGGAAGAUUUCUUUUAGUUUUAACUGAUUAUUUCUCUAAAUUGGCGGAAGUAGAGGCUUUGUCUAGAGUUCGUGAGCAAGAGGUAAUCACUUUCAUAUGGAAACAAUCAUCUACCGAUUCGGCCUACCUAAAGAAACAAGUUGUAACAACGGACCCCAGUUCACGGGAAGAAGAACCCUGAGUUCUUCAAAAAAUGGCAUAUCAAAAGAAUACUUUAGACUCCUUACCACCUAGCUGGCAACGGACAAGCGGAAUCCUCCAAUAAGUCAGUACUAAACAUCAUGAAGAAGAAACUUGAAGAGUCAAAGGGACUGUGGCCGGAAAUACUCCCAGAAGUAUUAUGGGCACACAAAACUACCCCGAAGACGAGCACAAGAGAGAGCCCUUACUCCCUCGUCUACGGAAUAGAAGUAGUUAUACCAGUCAAAGUUAGAGAACGCAGCCUGAGGUACUCCUAUGAAAGCUACACCAGCAAUGAUGAGAAUAGAAGAUAAGAUCUCGACGAGGUCGAAGAGCGAUGAGACAUGGCAUACGUCACUUAGAAACAACAACCAGAAUGCUAUUACAAUAAAAAGGCAAAGAUUUGGUUGCUCAAGAUCGGAGACUAUGUACUUAAAGCCAAAACCUAAGCAAACAGGGAUCCAUGAGAAGGCAAGUUGGGAACAAACUGGGACAUACCGUACAUAAAUAUAGGCAAAGCAGACAAGGGCUAGUUCCAAUUGGAAACUAUGGAAGGGAAGCUCUUACCAACAAUUGGAAUAUCAGCCAUCUCAAGUACUUGAACUUCUAAAAAAUAAGAAAUGCCCCAUAAGUCGUACUCUUUUUUCCUCACUUGAGUUUUUGUCCCAAUAGGGUUACCUCAAGGAGGUUUUUAACGAGGUAAUGAAUGGGACAAUUCAAGUUGGAAUACACAAGAGGACUUAUUGUUUCGUUGCCCGACUCCUCCAGAAUCUCCAAGUCAAAAAAUAAAGGGACUAGAUAUUCUGGGACUGGGACUGGAAUGCCAACCAACAUCUAAAACUUAUAAUUUCUCAAAAAAUUGCCUAAGGAUGAAAAAUGAUGUAAUUGAAACAAAAAAGUUAAAAUGAUAAAGAUGCACGUUUGUCAGAACUACUCUUUAAAAUGGUAUAUUCGAGUAGCUCAAACAACACUUAUCGGCCCCUGGCCUCGAUCUAACUUGAAGGUUCGAGGGAUCCUUCGGGGUCUUAUGGCCUCGGGUUUUGUAAUGAAUGGUGAUUGACGACAGUCCCCGGGUCAUCGAGGGUAUCCUGGAUCGGGAGACUAUACUUGUAAACUUGGUAUUGCCUCAUUGAGGGCUUACGAUUUCGGAGAUUCCAACCCUAAGGUCGUGCGAUUUUUGAGAUUUUGAUGCCAGUCUCCGAGUAUUUGGGACACUUUUGGCCUUGGAGACGUUUCGUGAUUUUCAUGUUGCCUCGCUGAGGUCUUAUGAGAUUGGAGUCCCGACCCGGAGGUCGUUCAAGUGUUGAAUUGUUGACGCUAGUCCCCGAGUGCUCGGGACAUUUUUGUUAGAGGAAACAUUUUCGCAAAUAUGUCGAGUUUCUUUUUGGAGCUUGAGAUGGUUUGAUAAAAGAUAUUCUUCGAUUACUUGGUACAAGUAUACAUGUUUUCACUGUUGGGGGCCCGGCUAUACGGGCACGGUUCGUUCGACUGUUUGGCCCAGUACAUUAUUUUCCUAUUGGGACCCCAUUUGGCGUUUCUUGGCUUUUCCGAGUGGGUGGCCUUCCGGGGGGAUGCCCCCCAGUGUUCGAGGUUGAUUGCAAAAGAAAACUUGAAUACUCGUUGAGUCUUCCUUAGGUAGCAUGUGGAUGUUGCCUCAUUAAAAACCUUGCUGGUAAAACCCUUUUCGGGAUAAAACUCGGCCGAAGGAAAAGAGUGCAACCGAUGCUUUAAAACCUUAAGGUCUUCGGAUCGGGUUAGCGCUUCGACUGCUUCGGUCGGGCGCCUACAUAAGGGUUAGUGUGAAAUAUAAAAUGAAAAGGGAGAUGGUUAUACCUCGGUGUACCGCCAUAAGUACACCGGAAGGGUUAUGGCAGGCCAUGCUAUGAGACCGCACCUGCGAUGAAAAUUUCUGCGGGUGCUGAGCCGCAGAAGCGGUAGGUGGAUCGCAGGUGCGAGAAGCGAGCUGGGCAGUGUGUUCUUUUAAAAGCGAGGGUUUAGCUCAUUUUUACCAUUUUUCCUCCAUGGGAGCUGAUUUGGAGCAACUUGGGAGUGCCAUUUUCACCACCAAGCUUGAGGUAAGUGGUUUAUGCUAGUUUUGAGUUAAAUACAUUGAUUAUGUAUAGAUUUUAGCAUGAAAAUUGGUAGAACUAGGGGUUUGAGGGAAAACCUAGAAAAUUGGAAUUUUCGGAGUUUGACCACGAUUUUGGGCAUGAAAUGGAGAGUAAAUUAUAUAUUUGAGUUCGUGAGGUUAUGGGCAAACUUUAUCUUCAAAAUUUUUUGAAUCUGAGCAGGUGGGUUUGAGGGAGUUUUUGUCAACUUUUCGAUCGGGGUUAGAAAUUGUUAUAAAUUGGAUUAUUGUGAGUAAUCGAGCAUGUAUUAAUGGGUUUACAUAAUCAUUGGCUAGUUUUGGGACAUUGUGCAUCAAUUAAGUCUUCGGAAGAGCGUGGAAUGCCGGUUAUGGAACUUCGGAGCGAGGUGAGUCUCCUUCCUAAUCUUAUAAGAGGGAAUUGUCCCCAUAGGUGAGUUAAUUGGUUAUGUGCUCCUAUUUGUGGGGGCUACGCACGUACGAGGUGACGAGAGUCCGUGCGUAGCUACUAUUAUGCUUAAGUCCGGGUAGUCUAGGGUCCAAAAGAAUGCUUUACCUGUAAUAUUUGCAACCUUGUUGUCAAUUUAAGAAUGCUUAAACACAUAUCAAAUGUAUAAAUAAAUUUCUAAAAGGCUAGACAUCAUUUCUUCACUUUUAAAAGAGAAACUUGCAUUUUCCUGAAUAGUUGCUCCCUGAUGAAUUCUUGAUUGACUGCUUGAAUGUGUUUAUUUAUUUUGGGACGGGCCGAACGCCUCAGUAGAUUAAAUAGAUGCAUAUAUGGUUCGCGUCAUUCGACCCUCUGGCAGUGCACAGUUAAAUAUUAUUGGAUCAGGUCGUACGUCCUCGGCAUGAUUUGCGCUUGCUUGUAAUGUUUGCCUUAGAAACUAUAAAUGUUGAUAUUUGUUCUCCCAAGCCUGAGAUAAGUGUACAAAUAAUAAAAAGGAAAUUUGGAAAUUUCCUAUAAAAGAAAGAAUUGUUUAAUUGCUUUAUUCUAUUGAGUUACAAUCAUGUUUAUAAAAAUCCUUGAUUUAUUAUAUUAUUGGUGUAUCAUUAUUGGACAAAGAGAUUGAUGAUGUAAGGAGCGACCGCUUUUGCGGAGCCGGGACCGCUUCUGCGGUCUCGCUUCUGUGGAAGUUGCGUCGCACCUGCGCCCCUAGCCAAGCCCAACCAUUUUCGCUUUUGUGAUACCAAGGCCGCUUUUGCGGCUCCGCACAUGCGGCCAAAACCUCGCAGGUGCGGUUACUCCAGAUACCAUCUGCUUCAAUUCUUCUUCAAAUUCCAAAUUUGAUCUGUUAACCAUCUGGAAUCCACCCGAGGCCUACAGGACCCUAACCAGUCCCAAAACAUAAUGCGGACCUAUUUGAUGCCUCAAAUCACAUCAAACAAUGUCGAAAUCACGAAUCGCACUCCAAUUCGAGCUUAAAAUAGUUUAGAAUUUCAAACUUCUACUUUUGAUGUCUAAACCUAUCAAAUCACGUCCAAUUGACCUCAAAUAUUGCACACAAGUCAUAUUUGACAUUACGGAACUACUCCAACUUCCGGAAUCGGAAUCCAACCCCGAUAUCAAAAAGUUCACUUCCGAUAAAACUUCUCAAAACCUCCAAAUUUCUAUCUUUAUCCAAAUGACUCCAAAAUGACCUACGGACCUCUAAAUUCACUUUCGAUCGGGCUCCCAAUAUUAGAAUCACCAUACGGAACUAUUCCCAGACUCGGAAUCCCAAACGGACAUCGAUAGCAUUGAAAUGCACUUCAACCCAAAUUUAUGGAAUUCUUCCAAAAAUGCUAACAUCCACAAUAGGUGCCAAAACGCUCUCAGGUCACCCAAAACACGAUCCGGGCAUACGCCCAUCCGAAAUCAUCAUACGAACCUGAUAGAACCUUCAAAAUCCCGAUUUUGAGGUCGUUUACUCAAAAAUCCAAUCUUAGCCAAUUCUUUCAACUUAAAGCUUCUGGAAUGAGGAUUGUUUUCCAAAAAAUUCCAAACUUCCCGAAAUUCAAUUCCGACCAUGCAUACCAGUCAUAAUACCUUAAGUGAAGUUGCCCAUGGCCUUAAACUGCCGAACGACGUGCUAGAGCUCAAUACGACUGGUCGGGUCGUUAUAUUCUCUCCCACUUAAACAUAUGUUCGUCCUCAUUCAAAAGUGCUAAGAACUGCGCUGGAGUUGUCCGAAAUCACUGUUUAGCACCUUGUGCACCUACCCGUGCAUCUACAACCCAGUUGAGCACAUCAGUUCGAUCAAUUCUAAAAAUAUUCCCUUUUAUUCAAGCAAAUACGCUUAGAGCCCCAUUCCAACAUUCGAAAUUCUCCGUCAGGCCUGUUCCAAUGUAUGAAAACCGUAUCAAUCACUACACGAGCUACCAGAGCAUGACUGCAUACCUUUGCUGAAUUCUCACCAUACACCACAUCAAUCAUAGGACCAUAAUAACAUUCUCUGAUUAUAAUAACCAACAUUCCCUAAAUCUGAUUCUCACAACACACCUCAUGAUAUAUAUAAGUCUUGUUCCAACUCUCGCAAUACCGCCACGACAGAAGAGACGUGUAGAAAUUUAUAUCCCACUACUAAGUCAACAAAUCAUUAAGUCUAUUCUUCUGACAAGAACCAUUACCUCAUUCUGAACCAAAUAAUGAUCUUUGCUAUUUAAUAUACUUCAUAUAGUCAGACUGCACUGAUCCUAGAUCCAAUAAUCUUGUCUUACCUAGUACGAACUGCUCAGGAAAUAAGCCACCCCGGCCAUGAUCAAAAGUCCUAUAUGAUGUCGUAAUGUGCCAAUAGGCUGCAAGCUCGAACAUGAUACAUAAGAAAAACAAACUCAAGAAGGGACUACUCAACUCACGUGACUAAUAUGAACUUUUCUCAGAAAAUGGGAAACAAAAACACAUAAAAACAGGUAUAGAAAACUAUACUCAACAUCACACUGUUGUGGCGUGCAACUCGAUCCAAACAACAUACCCAUUGCAAUAUGCCACACGAUCCACACAUAAAUUCACAUAAUGAGAUGUACAUCGAGCUAAAUUGCUCAUUACAAUAAAAUACCGAAUAUCGGUCACAAACACGCUAAGUGCAUAAUACCAUCCCUGGGGAGAAAUAUAGCGCCAUAAGCUAACAAACUCAAGCACAACUGAGGUGCUAUUUAUGUUCUGAAACUAAAGAGCCAUCCUGCUCAUCCGAGUUAUCCAAAAAUAAGCAAAAUUUAAAGUUGUUUUAUCAGUAGCGGCAGGAACUUAUGGUUGAGCCAAGACGGCAGCCGGAGUUUCUGAUCGUUGAUCACGGGCACCAAAAACUUCAACAGUUUGCGCGGCCUCUACGGGAGGAUCCACAACAACACCUUCUCCGGAGCUCGUCGUAGGAGAGUCGUCCAGGUGAAUCACUUUUGGGGGAGUCAUCUCAAACUCUACUCUCCGUCUCUUUGACGACCCCUCUUCUUCUCCAAUCGAUGGUGACUCGUUCGUAGGAUGGAUGAUACUAGUCGAGACCUCAUCUUGAAAAGCUAUCCUCGCUAAAGUAACUAAGGCCGCAGAUUCAACCAAAGCAGCCCUCGACGAGGGUCAUACAGUGGGUACGGCGGCAAGGCGAGCGGAUGCGGUCGGCUGGCGAAAAGCUAGUUGAGGGGCCCUUGCUCUCCGCACCCUCCCUGGCAAUGACGAAUGAUGUAAUAGAGGCUAAACAAUAAAAGAAAAAGAGAACUGUAGAUGAAGGCGUCAUCUCACCUGUAACAGGCCUGCGCCCGAACUUCUCUUGAAAGGUCGACCAUGUGUGAACUCAUGUGAGAACAAGGGAAAUCAUAUUAGAAUCCGAUUCAAGUUAGAAGUAGCAGAAGCUAGCCUUAAGAAUGCGGGUCGACAAAGGUCCAAGAUAACAAAAAAGAAGUCUCAAUCAAGAAUAAAAGAAAAAAGAAGUAAAUCCAAAGUGCAGAAGCAGAGAAAAAAUGUGGACUGCUCAAGACAUAAUUGAAGUCACAGGCUCUGCAUGUCCCAUCUUGAUCUGAAAAAGCUGAAGAAGAUUGAACCAACACCUGCAGCUAACAAGCAUCAAGAUUCAUAUCAGAGUCCGUAUGAAGAACCAACCAAGACUCAAGAUCAAGCUUCAGAAGACUCAUAGAUAGGAAUCUUGUAACUCGUAGCUGAUAGGCUUGGUUAGUCUUGUUCAUUUUUUAUUUUUGAUGUAAUAACGGGAUUGCGGACCGAAACCUCGACGGCACCUCGACCGGCUCUUCACCUCGGUAUAUUCCAUCAUCUCACUCACCUAUGAACUACACGUGGCCUGAUUCCUUUAUAGCCAAGGAUAUGUAGGCAGCUUAGAUACCAGGGCUCGGUCACAUUCCCCUUUUCCCUUAGUUGUGGUCUCCUUAAAUAAGGGNNNNNNNNNNNNNNNNNNNNNNNNNNNNNNNNNNNNNNNNNNNNNNNNNNNNNNNNNNNNNNNNNNNNNNNNNNNNNNNNNGAUUUUUCAUAUUUUAGCAACGUAAAUAUUUAAUUUAGGCUUAAUAUAGCUAUUUCAACUCAUUUUUACUUUUUUACUUUAUUUUAUUUACAUGAAAACAAAAAUUACAAAAAAUAGUUUCAUUAAUAUUUUGUAGUCAUUUUUAACCUUGAAAAAUACCAAAAAUAAUUUUGUUUAAUGGUCAGUCUUAUUUUAAUAGUUAUUUUACUUAAGUAGGAUUAAUUAAUAAAUGAGGUCAUAUUUUAGCCACGUUCGCGGAAAAAGAAUAAAACUUGGGCUCGAGCAACCCAUUUUUUAAGCCUAAUUUUGGACCUACCCAUAAUUCCCAAACCCAUAAUUCCUAGGCCCCAAACGCCUAACCUAAUCCCUACCCCUAUAUAAUAGUACCUAAUCUCUAAAUUGAGAGAGACCCUAGACACUGAUCCGUCGCUUCUCUAAAAAGAUCAAAGAAAAAAAGCCAAAAAAUUACAGAGACAAAAAGGCUGACCUAGAGCUAACACUAAGAAAGAACGAACCAAAAGAAAAAUCAAAAGAACAUCAUUCUCAUUUGGAGACGUUAUUGAUUUGUAAAGAAACACACAAAAAGGAGCUGAAAAACGGAAAUCGAAAAUGAAACAGAGGCAAGAAUAAGAGGACCUUCUUCACGUUUUUUCCACUCAAUUUCACCCUCAUUUUCUUCCAUACAAAAUCACACAAACACCAUAAAAAGCUGCUAGUCAUUUUCUCACAGAGAACCUCCCAAAAUGUCAUUUAGAUCUAUAACCAAAAAUCACUCAAAAACUCAUGAAUUAAGUUUCAUCCUUUAGCCGUGAAAAUGUUCCUUAAAUCUAGCGUUUAACAUCUUUCUUACUUCAUGAAACUACCACUAAAAUGCUACCAGAACUAUCACUAGAGUGAAGGGUGACGAAAAGCAAUCGAGUUCCAGUGGGCGGGUUUUGAAUUUUAGCGCGACGAGUGGACUUCGCUGGAACUCUAGCUGAUGGUUCGAGGUUUUCGCGAUUCGAAGGCCCUGUUGAAAGUUGACUGAUCAUUGUGUUGCUGUAAUUUAAAAUUCACAAUCAUCUAUACAAUUGUUUUAAAGUGAUAAUACUAUCCAAAAAGAAGUGGAUGGCUCUUUAGAUAAGUGAUAAAACAAUUUUGCUUAUUGCAAAAGUUUAUGAUUGAAAUUAAAUUACUUGCAGUUGGUAGAUUCUGCAAUGACUAUAUAAUACUAUCCAAAAAGCAGGGAAAAUAUAAAGUUCAUAUUAAAAUUAAAGUUAAAAUUAAAUUUAAUCUUUUAACCAAUUUCUAAAGAUAUCAUGUUUUAGUUUCCAUGUGUAUCUAUCAUCAGUUCUCAUUUUAAUAGGAACUUUUUAAAAUUAAGUCCAAAUUCAUAAAAUAAAUAUUUAAAAUAAAUUUUAGAAUUUUUGAAAUAUUUUUAAGAGAUAUAUUUUACAAAAUACUCGGUUCAUUUUUCAUUGCCUUUUCUAGACCAAAUGCUAGAUAGACUUGCUGGGCAUUCCUACUAUUGCUUUUUGGAUGGGUACUCAGGCUACAACCAGAUUAUGAUUGCACCAAAGGACCAGGAGAAAACCACCUUCACAUAUCCGUAUGGCACCUUUACAUUUUCACGGAUGCCAUUUGGUUUGUCCAAUGCACCGGCUACCUUUCAGCGGUGUAUGAUGGCUAUAUUUACGGACAUGGUGGAAGAUUUUUUGGAAGUGUUCAUAGAUGAUUUUAGUGUUUUGGGUGACUCUUUUGAAAAAUAUUUGGGUAAUCUUAACAAAGUGUUGGCUCGAUGUGAAGAGACAAAUCUAGUGCUUAAUUGGGAAAAGUGCCACUUUAUGGUUGAUGAGGGCAUUGUUCUCGGCCAUAAGAUCUCAAAGAACGGUAUCAAAGUGGACAAAGCGAAGAUUGAAGUGAUUUCAAAACUCCAUCCUCCUACUUCCGUUAAAGGAGUGAGGAGCUUUCUUGGGCAUGCUGGGUUCUACCAAAGGUUCAUCAAGGACUUCUCCAAGGUGGUGAAUCCUUUAUGCAAAUUAUUGGAAAAGAAUACAAAGUUUUUGUUUAAUGAUGAGUGCAUGACAACUUUUGAGCUUCUCAAGUAUAGAUUGACUACCACUCCCAUCAUCACCGCACCUAAUUGGAUAUUGCCAUUUGAGCUCAUGUGUGAUGCUAGUGAUGUUGCGGUAGGAGCGGUCUUGGGGCAAAGGGUGAAAAAGAUGUUUCAUCCGGUGUACUAUGCAAGCAAAACUAUGAAUGAUACCCAGGUUAAUUAUACAGUGACGAAGAAAGAGUUGUUAGUAAUUGUGUUUGCAAUGGAAAAGUUUAGGCCUUAUCUCAUGGGUGCCAAAGUGAUUAUUCAUACUAAUCACGCGACACUCCGUUACUUGAUGACCAAAAAGGACUCUAAAGCUAGAUUGAUGAGAUGGGUUUUGUUGCUUCAAGAAUUUGACCUAGAGAUUGUUGAUUGGAAAGGAAGUGAAAAUCAAGUAGCGGACCACUUGUCCCACUUGGAAGAGGAGGGGAGACCCAAAGAUGGUCUCGAAAUUAAUGAUGCAUUCCCUGAUGAAUAACUCCUCUUAGUGUCUUUGAAUAGUAUGCCUUGGUUCACCGAUGUGGCCAAUUUUCUUGUGAUCGCCAUUGUUCCGAGUGAGCUCUCUUCUAACCAAAGGAAUAAGCUUAAACGGGAUGCUUGGAUUAUUACUGGGAUGAGCUUUUUCAAGAUUUGUAAUGAUGGUGUGAUCCGGAGAUGUGUUCUGGAAGAGGAGCAAAUGAGUAUUUUUUAUGCUUGCCAUUUCUCUCCCUACGCGGUCAUCAUGGUGGGGCGGGAACUGCUUCAAAGGUUCUUAGUUGUAGUUUUUAUUGGCCUAAUCUGUAUAAAGAUGCUGGUGAGCUUGUCAAGAGAUGUGAUGAGUGUCAGAGAGCGGGUGGAAUUUCCAAGAAGGAUGAAAUGCCUCUCACAACUAUUCUUAAGGUUGUCAUUUUUGACGUGUGGGGCAUAGACUUCAUGGGGCCUUUUGUGAGUUCAUGUGGAAACACUUAUAUUUUGGUGGCUAUUGAUUAUGUUUCCAAAUGGGUUGAGUCCGUGUCUUUGCCCAACAACGAAGCCCGGAGUGUGGUGGUGUUUCUUAAGAAGAAUAUCUUUACACGGUUUGGCACUCCUCGGGCAAUCAUCAGUGAUGGGGGUUCUCAUUUCUGCAAUAGUGCAUUUGACACUUUGCUUGCAAAGUAUGGUGUCAAUCACAAGGUAUCAAUCCCUUAUCAUCCUCAGGCUAGUGGACAAGUUGAGGUCUCUAACAGGGAGAUAAAGAGUAUAUUGUCAAAUAUUGUCAAUGCAAAUAGGACUGAUUGGUCAAGGAAAUUGGAUGAUGCUUUGUGGGCUUAUAGGACUGCUUAUAAGACUCCAAUUGGUAUGUCUCCAUACCGAUUGGUAUUUGGGAAAGCAUGCUAUCUUCUGGUUGAGUUAGAGCACAAGGUAAUGUGGGCGCUGAAGAAGUUAAAUCUUAAGUGGGAUGUUGCAACAAAUCUCCGGGAAUGAACUUGAUGAGUUUAGGUUUUGUGCCUAUUGCAGCUCGUCCUUGUAUAAGGACAAGAUGGAGUACUUACAUGAUAAAUAUGCCCGGAGCAAGGAAUUCAAGGAGGAUGACUUGGUUCUCUUAUUCAACUCUCGAUUACGAGUUUCUGAGAAAGCUCAAGUCAAAAUAGAGUGACCCUUUUGAAGUGGUACAUGUAACUAUAUUUGGUGCUCUUGAUUUGAAGAAUAAAAAUGGUGAAUUUUUAGAGUUAAUGUGCACCGAGUCAAACAGUGGGAAAAUUUGAUGACAGUCAUGUGGUGGCCUUGAUCAACUUCAAAUGAUGAUGGUAACAUGUGUCGUGCCGCGACGUUAAAUAAGGCACUUCUUGGGAGGCAAUCCAUGUGUUUUUUCUUCCUUUUGAUUUUCAUCUUAGUGUAGGAUUUGUUUUAGACUAACUGGUUGUGAGAUUUAUGUAGGAAAAUUUGAUGGAGUGCAGGACUAAUACUAGAAAAUUUGGCUAAGUAUGCUAUUAGACCGUUGACCGUGCUCAAAAUUCUGUGAUCAGCUGAAGGUUUUUCGUGGGGGCAGGAUUAUGUAGCGGACGCGAACUUGAAAAUUCCAAAAUGUGACCUCUCUGAAGUUUCAACCACAUCUGCAGUGGAAUUUUCGCGGUCAGAGGACCUUGUUCCGCGGCCGUAGCCCCUUUUUUGCUCUCAGUGGUAGUGUUGAUCUUGCAACUCUUUAAAACAGCAAAAAUCGCGAUCGCGCCAGGUAGGUUGGUGUGGGCCCUCAAGAUUUUAGUAUAAAUAGAGGGCCCCUGCUUUUACCUUUUUUGCACCUUUCACUCUUAAACGAAAUAGCCUACUGUUCAUCAGCCCCAAAUCUGAUCCCAAUAGCAUAGCACUAAUCAGAAGUUAAUUUCCAACACACCUCAAAUAACUGGUAUGUUCAAAUCAUAGAAUCGUUUUUGUAUUUUUGGCUUUUCUUUUCUCUUAGUUGUAACUUUUUUUUAAUUAGGGUUUGAUUAAUCACCAUAAUAUAGGCAUUGAAGUUAAAAAUUCAUGUGGGUACUUGUUGUGUAUGCCUAAUGAGGGGUAGGGUUAUUCAUUUCAUCACCUAAUUGCUUAAUUUGUAUGCUAAGUGAAAACCCUAGAGUGCCCGUUCAUUUUGAAUUCCGCGGCCGCGGCCAUAAUUUUGCGGUCAACGUUCAUCUAAAAUCCUGAGUAAAAAUGGUUUGUCUUCCAUGGUCAACGGUGAAAAUUCCGCUGUCAGCGGCCUGCUUUACGUGGCCAAGCUUCUUUUUUCGCAGAUCGCAGAUGUUAAGUUUAGAGAAUUGCCAAGUUGGGUUCGCGACCACAUUCGUUUUUCCACAAACAGCGGUGCAGUUUUCGCGGUCGCGCCCAAAAUUUCGCUCUCAGUGGUACCUCAGAUUCAGAGAUUGAGUAGUCUGAUUCUCAACAUUUUGCGGAUGGGGUGCUUUUUUCGCGGUUGCCUUUACGCGGCCAAGCCUCUUUUUCCGCGGUCAGGAGAUCCUGAUUCUAAGAGGCAGUAUAUGCAUGUCCUCUGCUAUUGCUUUAUUUCCAUGUGCAAUGUUUUAGCUUCAACUGCAAUGCUUAACCAUAUGAUUGAUACAUUGUUCUGACUUUGUUUCAUGGCUUAUUCUCUGCAGACAAUAGUCCGAUCUAGAGGUGCCGGUGAUACAUAAAAAGGGAGAGUUGAAUCCUCCUGAGGUAGGGGAAGAGGAGGACAAGGAAGGACCAAAUUACCACUAGCGGUCCAGAUACCUAUAGGAAAGCUGUAGAAAACCAUCAAAGUUGCGGAUAGAGUCUCAUCCCAUUUUGAGGGUAGUGAAUAUGUCCCUUCCCGGGAAGCUUCGGAAGGAGACUCAGUGCCAACCCAUAUUCCUGCAGACUUCCAAGGGAAAUUCCAAUUGAAAGACGAGCCUACACCCCCUACUUCUCCUGCUUCUUCUGAGUCGUCUAAUGGCUCAGAGAAAAGUAGUGAGUCUUCAGCAUCAGCCUCUCCUCCAGCUAUACCUUUGGCCUCACCAGCAAACACUAUUGAUGUAGAUGCUGAGAUCCCUGAUGACGGGAGGGGUGGUGACACCCAGACAGGAGGAUUGGCAAGAUCAAGGAACCCCGUGGUAUGGCAAGAACAUUUUGUUAGUGAGAAAGCCUACCGCAAGUUUCAGGAGUGGUGGCCUCAAAGGUCACUUACACAUGAAAGGGUUUUAUUGAGCGAGAAUUGCUACCUCACAACCCGAAUGUCAAGAGGCACUUCAAUGAGAGAGUGGGGUGGAAGUUCUUCACCAGCAACUUACCAGAUGCUAAUGAACACUUGGUCAAGGAAUUUUACACUAAUGUUGCCCACAUAAAAAAGGGCACAUUUUUUACCAAAGUUCGGAACAAGAAGAUUAAGUUUGAUGGAAAGAACUUAAAUGAUUAUGCUGGAUUCAAUGAUGAGGAUGAGUCCCUGUAUCUGGGAAAGGUGGCCAUGGAUGAGUUAGCCCGCCCGUGGCUUGCAUCAAUGAUUGCUCUUCCGGGGACUACUCUAGUUUGGCUGACACCUGGGGUCCCGAUAUAUAGGAACACUUUGAGCUUCGAGGUGAAGGGCUGGGAAACUUUUGUUUGUAGCCGGUUAGACCCCACUACGCAUGAUAGUGAUAUGCCGGUAUCUCGAGCUAUUAUUAUGGGGGAUAUCAUGGAAGGGUACCCGAUCAAUGUCAGGAAUAUUAUGGCCAGGGUGAUCACCAGAGUGGUUGGAUAAGAUGAUAGCUCAUACCCUUUCCUGAACUUCCUUAUGAUGUACCUAGAGGAUCAAGAAGUGGAAGGAAGAGACUUUGAUACUAAGGUGAAACCAAAGAGGCCAUUCUCCUAGUACAGCCUUCAGGGUUCGGACAACCCCAAGCCCAAGGGCAAAGCCUCCACUUCCACUGGCCAGUCUAAAGAGCCAGGGGUGGUGGCCACUGGUUCCGAGCCUUUCACUGCCCUGCCACAUCCUCCCUUCGGACCAUCUACUUCUAUGCCUUAUUCGGUGCCUUCUUCAUCAGCAUACCCUCUAACUACACUGAGGGUUAAUCAGACUCUCUCUCCAGCAUCAACAAUUGGAUGCAGGCAGCUACAUUAAAGUUGUUUGUCCUAUCCAGCACAGUGGCAGCUCAGUCAGCUCCGGCACAGCCUCAGGUUCCUGCUUCAGUGGAGGAAUCACUAAAGAAGCUUUUGGAGAACCAGAAGAAGCUCUUGGACAACCUGAAGUUGAUCAUGGACACUUUGGAAACAUGGGGAAAGCAAUCAUGGACCUGAGCAAACACACGAAGAAAAUGAAGAAGACUCGGGCCUCGAAGAAGUCAGUAAAGAUGCUGAGGAAUGUGGUUGAAAAGAUUAGAUCAGUUGGAGACAUCCCAUUGGACCUACUAUUGGAGGAGCCAGUUCCAGUAGCUUAGGUAGCACAGGAACCAGAGCACAAGGCUAAUAGAGAGCCCAUGAGGAGAGGGGUGAUCCCCCAGACUGAGGAUUUGGAGAUUGAGCUGGAGGACCCAGAGGGAGGUGUCUCAGGCCAGCCACAGGACCCAGCUAGUGAUCCCAUGUAGGCAGAGGCAUCAUAGGGAGUUUCUAUUUACUCUCUACCUUUCCCCUAUUCUAUUUUUGUUGAUAGCAUUGAGGACAAUGCUACUUUUUAUUUGGGGGGGGGGGGUAGCCCUAUUUUGAUGUUGAUGAUGAUUUGGAUAUUGGUUUGUAAUAACUUUGAUACUAUUUCUUUUCUUUAUUUUUUUUACUUAUCGUACUUUAUUUUUGUACUUUUGGUAUGUAUAUAAAGUUACCUUUCCAUGUAUAUAUUUAUUCCCCUUUUAUGUAUAUUCGUCUCAAUCCCCUAUUGUACAUAUUCAGUUUACUCUCCGUAUUUUACUUUAUAACUUCUUUUUCAAUUUUCUUUAAUAGCAUAGCUUCUUAUUUCAGAUAGUAGUUUCUUUUUUUCAAUUUGUAGCUUCUUACUUUUACAAGUUUUCGUGAUCAAUAAGCCUUUGGUUUUCUUAAUGCCAUGGUUCUUUCCAAAGGUGGAAUUUGUGUGAACCGGGUGGCUCUUCCCGAUGAUGGAUGACAUGAAAACCUUUUUAAGGGUUUGAGUCUGUUUUCUUUAAGUUUUUGUGUAAAUAGUAGUAAUGAAUAAAAGUAUCUCAGGCAAAGCUUCACUUGGGCCUAGCAUAUUUACCUUUGACCUUAUGGUUAGAAACAAAUUGAUUUGCAAAGAAUGGUGCUAGUUUUGACCUUUAGACUCUUGUGUUGGCUAAACAAUCAUCGAAUGGUUCUCUGGAGCUAUUUGUCUUGCUCAACCUUAUCUAGGGUGGUUGUGGUCCCUCGACUCUAUUCUCUUUAGCAAUCUAACAGCUUGUGAGGUGGGGUAUUGAUUUACAAGUCCAAGUCCCGUGCCAUAAGUCUAGNNNNNNNNNNNNNNNNNNNNNNNNNNNNNNNNNNNNNNNNNNNNNNNNNNNNNNNNNNNNNNNNNNNNNNNNNNNNNNNNNNNNNNNNNNNNNNNNNNNNNNNNNNNNNNNNNNNNNNNNNNNNNNNNNNNNNNNNNNNNNNNNNNNNNNNNNNNNNNNNNNNNNNNNNNNNNNNNNNNNNNNNNNNNNNNNNNNNNNNNNNNNNNNNNNNNNNNNNNNNNNNNNNNNNNNNNNNNNNNNNNNNNNNNNNNNNNNNNNNNNNNNNNNNNNNNNNNNNNNNNNNNNNNNNNNNNNNNNNNNNNNNNNNNNNNNNNNNNNNNNNNNNNNNNNNNNNNNNNNNNNNNNNNNNNNNNNNNNNNNNNNNNNNNNNNNNNNNNNNNNNNNNNNNNNNNNNNNNNNNCAUAACCCACCAAAUAUGAUAUCCCUAGUCAACCUCAUUGAGUCGAAGCCCUUGUUCUUUCAAUAACCAUGAUACAAGCCUUUAUCCGUUCUAAAAUGACCAUCUCUUGGCAUCCGAUCUUUCCUUAGCACAAUUGGCAAAGCAUAAGUUUGGGGGGAGGGGGAGAGACGAGGAAUGCAAAAGUGAUAAAAGGUACAAAAUGAGGAAAAGUGAAGGCAAAAGAAAAAGAAAGCAAAGCCAAAAAGUCAAAAAGAAAGUGAAUAAUAUAGAAAAAUGAAGGGAUUCAAUAAAAGCAUUGAUGAAAGGCUUGGAAUUAUUAGAAAGGAGAAAAAUGAUUGUCAUGAACAAGAAAGAGUAACAGUGUAUCUCUCUAGUCCCCUAAGGAAGAAGGAAAUGACUCAAUGAGUCAAAAAAGUGUGAGUCGAAAUGAGAAAAUGAAGUGCUUAAGGAAAGAUGAAACCUUCAUAGACCGAUAUACCCUACCUUGAGCCAAAAGCCUUCAUUACAUUCCCGCAAAAACCCUCUAUGAUUUUGAGUUGAGUGAGCUUACAUUAGUGGUGAUUCACAUAAGGGGCAAGCUUAUGGUACUUAGAGCCGGAUUUGUGAUCUUCCUUUGAGAGAGAUGAGUGUACUCUUCCACAAUCCUUGUUCUAAGUGCUAUAAUCUGAAGUGAGAUUUUCUUAUGGAGAGUGAAGGAGAAAGAGUUUGGGUUCCUCAACGACCUACGUAGUAGAGCGAGCUUCCUUGAUAAGUUAAGCCAACACUUGAUGCUCUUGUGUCGCACUAGAGCCAUGGUGCUAAAAAGUUUGUAUGUUGUUUAUAAUACAUUUGUGUUGAGGGUAAUUGUUAGUCCCAAUUGAUGCUUGAUAAAGUUACUUUAGAACAACUGAAAUUUUCCUUUCUUUUUUCUUGAGGAGGUGGGAAUUAUUUUUUUUGCUUGAGGACAAUCAAAAUCUUAAGUUUGGGGGAGUUGAUAACUAUGGAUUCUAGCCUAUCUUAUGCUCUCCUUUGCUUAGGUUUUGGAUAAAAAAUUUAUAAAAGUAUUCCUGAAAACUGAAUUAUUGUGCUUGUUUGCAGGGUUUGGUAAAAAUGAGGCAAGAAAGCCAUAACCAACUCAUGAGGGAGUUAAAUCUACACAAGUUCAAAGCUGAGAUAAAAGCACUGACCGCAAAGGAAAAGAGCGGCAGCGGAAGGUCCACCGUUGAGGCAGCCACAAUUACCCGGUCCGUGGAAUUGAGAUUCAGAGAAGGUGUUUUGGAUGCAAACAGAGACCGCUAACAACGAUGAAAUAGCGCGGUAGCGAAAUACCUGACGUGGCCGUAUUGCAAAUUCCGCUGAGAGCAUCGAUCGAGAUUCAGAGACCCUGCAAAGUGAGCCUAACUGAGGAGUGCAUUCCGCGUCCAAAUUGCGCAGCCGUGGUUGAUGCUAAUGAUGAGGUGACAACUUUUAUGCUCCCAGCGAAAUCAAGUCCAGACCAAGCACAAAAGAGAAGAAACGUGGUCUGUGUCUGCUUUUUUACGGUCGCGGAAGUCCAAGCGCUGACGCGCUCAAUAUUGCACUGACAGUGGAACCUCCGUAGGGGUAUAUUUGUCCAGUAAUUUCAGCUGUGUAUAAAUAGAUCUUUUUUACAUUUUUAGGUCAUCUUUUGUAUUAGGAAGAUCAUGAACAGUCGUACUUUACCACUUUGAGUAAUUUUAGAGUAGCUUUAGCUUAUAUUCUUAGAUU